rnacentral:tRNA from 1 species
GCCAGUGGGGUGUAGUGGUUUGACCAUUGGACUAUGACUUUGGAGACCAGGGUUCGAUUCCCUGCUCAGCCA